AUUGAACGCUGGCGGCAUGCCUUACACAUGCAAGUCGAACGGUAACAGGUCUUCGGAUGCUGACGAGUGGCGAACGGGUGAGUAAUUCAUCGGAACGUGCCUAGUAGUGGGGGAUAACUACUCGAAAGAGUGGCUAAUACCGCAUGAGAUCUACGGAUGAAAGCAGGGGAUCGCAAGACCUUGUGCUACUAGAGCGGCCGAUGGCAGAUUAGGUAGUUGGUGGGAUAAAAGCUUACCAAGCCGACGAUCUGUAGCUGGUCUGAGAGGACGAUCAGCCACACUGGGACUGAGACACGGCCCAGACUCCUACGGGAGGCAGCAGUGGGGAAUUUUGGACAAUGGGCGCAAGCCUGAUCCAGCAAUGCCGCGUGCAGGGUGAAGGCCUUCGGGUUGUAAACUGCUUUUGUACGGAACGAAAAGCCCUGGGUUAAUACCCUGGGGUCAUGACGGUACCGUAAGAAUAAGCACCGGCUAACUACGUGCCAGCCGCCGCCGUAAAAC
rnacentral:rRNA from 1 species